rnacentral:tRNA from 1 species
GCGGGGAUGCCCGAGCAUGGUCAAAGGGGGCGGACUUAAGAUCCGCUGGCGAAGGCCUGCGUGGGUUCGAGUCCCACUCCCCGCACCA